rnacentral:lncRNA from 1 species
AUCGGAUCCAGCUGAUGAACUCUGGGAUUGGGUGACAGUGCCCCUUCUCUCUCUCACAGCCUGAUGUUCUGAAAAACAUCAUCACUGAGAUCAUCCACUCCAUCCUGCUGCCGAACCAGAAUGGCAAAUUAAGAUCUGGGGUCCCAGUGUCAUUGGUGAAGGCCUUGGGAUUCGAGGCAGCUGAGUCCUCACUGACCAAGGAUGCCCUUGUGCUUACUCCAGCCUCCUUGUGGAAACCCAGCUCUCCUGUCUCCCAGUGAAGACUUGGAUGGCAGCCAUCAGGGAAGGCUGGGUCCCAGCUGGGAGUAUGGGUGUGAGCUCUAUAGACCAUCCCUCUCUGCAAUCAAUAAACACUUGCCUGUGAUGCC